rnacentral:rRNA from 1 species
UAAGGAAUAUUGGUCAAUGGACGCAAGUCUGAACCAGCCAUGCCGCGUGCAGGAAGACGGCCCUCCGGGUUGUAAACUGCUUUUGUACGGGAAUAAACACCGAUACGUGUAUCGGCUUGAAUGUACCGUAAGAAUAAGGAUCGGCUAACUCCGUGCCAGCAGCCGCGGUAAUACGGAGGAUCCAAGCGUUAUCCGGAUUUAUUGGGUUUAAAGGGUGCGUAGGCGGCCUGUUAAGUCAGGGGUGAAAGACGGUAGCUCAACUAUCGCAGUGCCCUUGAUACUGAUGGGCUUGAAUAUACUAGAGGUAGGCGGAAUGAGACAAGUAGCGGUGAAAUGCAUAGAUAUGUCUCAGAACACCGAUUGCGAAGGCAGCUUACUAUGGUAUUAUUGACGCUGAGGCACGAAAGCGUGGGGAUCGAACA